rnacentral:misc_RNA from 1 species
AACCUUAUGGACCUGCGGGCGUAUACCUGCGGAGGGAUCAUUAAUGAAAUCAAAGGUCCAGGUUGUAGCUGGCUUUCUCUGGAAGCAUGUGCACGCCUGUGACCAUUAUCCAUCUCAUCCCUGUGCACCUUUGCGUGGGUCAAGAGGAGCUUUGCGGCUCCUCAAGGCUUGCGUUUUAUUAUAUACCCAUCGUAUGUUUAAGAAUGUCUACUUGCGUUAAUCGCAUCUAAUACAACUUUC